rnacentral:rRNA from 2 species
UGGGGAAUAUUGCGCAAUGGGGGAAACCCUGACGCAGCGACGCCGCGUGAGCGAUGAAGGCUUUCGGGUUGUAAAGCUCUGUUCUAAGGGACGAAGUCCUUAUCUGUAAAUAAUGGGUAGGGGUGACGGUACCUUAGGAGAAAGCCCCGGCUAACUACGUGCCAGCAGCCGCGGUAAUACGUAGGGGGCGAGCGUUGUCCGGAAUUACUGGGCGUAAAGAGCGUGUAGGCGGGUAUUUAAGUCAGGUGUGAAAGACCGGGGCUCAACUCCGGGGUUGCACUUGAAACUGGGUAUCUUGAGGGCAGGAGAGGAAAGCGGAAUUCCUGGUGUAGCGGUGAAAUGCGUAGAUAUCAGGAGGAACACCGGUGGCGAAGGCGGCUUUCUGGACUGACCCUGACGCUGAGACGCGAAAGCGUGGGGAGCAAACAGG